GAAACUCCAGGGGGCAGCGCUGGAGCUCCAAGGAGAGGGAGAGGCAGCCUGCAGGCCCUGGAAAAGUGAAGCAGAGAACCUGCCCGAGGCCUGGGACGGACAGGGCCGAUUGGGGACAGGACAGGAGCCAGGAGGAGCACUGUGCCAGGGAGGAAUUGCCGAGAAGGACAGGCCGGAGCUGGACGCAGUAUCACUGCUGCCCAGAGCUGCAUGGGGCUAAACCUCCAUCCCUUACUGAAGAUUCCUUCCAUAACCAGACAUCUCCACCCGAUGGAAUUGAUGCCCUCUUCAGAGAAGGUGAUAGCAGAGCAGCUUCAGGAGGUGUGGUGGGAAAAGAAAGUCGCACAUUAAACCUGGGGCCUUGCAACUGCAGAGGGGAGGGCUGGGGGGGGCGCGCUGAACUGAGGGGCUUCACAGUGGGGACUCAGAUUUCCUUGAAACAGCCAUGCCAGUUCCAGUCGAGCUAUGGAGAGACAAGCGGUGAAGACAGUGGAGUAACAGCCUGCAGGACCCCGAGGGAGGAGAAAGAGAUACAGGCUGCUAAACUGACACCAGCCAAAAGUUGGCCGCAUUUUCUUUGAACCAUGAAGGAAUAGCACAGGCAAGUCAGACGUGACCAUGUUAAAGGAGCCAUGAGAAAAUAAAAACAAGUGACAGCUGACUCUUGAAGUGCUUGUGGGGGUGGGGCGAGAAAGAGAGGAGAGAGAGAGAGAUCAAAAUAUUGGGGGAAGGGCAGUCUGCAACCCAGGAGCCUUCUGCAGCAGCAGAUGGAGAGGAAAGUUACUGCUGAUUCCUGCAGAGUCCGGGAAGUAAAGAGACAACAUGUAAUAAUGAGGUGAUCUCAGAAAUAGACAACCAGGGGCAAGAACAAAAAGAGGACGCAGGAGAGAGAAACCCAGAACUGUGCACCAGGGGCUCUUCUCUCAGGCGUUGCUGCUGUGAGUAUUGCUUGCUGGCUAGAUGGAAGUUUCAGGCAGAAGGCCUGCCAAGGAGACUAGAAGAAUGGGUCAGAGUGAGGCUUUGGUGGGAGUAGAUGAGAGAUAGGGGAGACCAUGAUAUGGGGAAGUUUGGGGAGGAUGGAAGAGAAUACUGUUUCUUGAUGCCACAGAAUAAGGGAUUUCUCCUUCCUCAGCCCCAGUAAUUAGGGACAAAGUGGAAGGGCCAGGUACCAUGGAGAGCCUAAUUCCCCUCACCCUGGGUUUUGGAUUGAGUUUCCUUUAACUGACCAUGGGACACAGCAGCAGAGAUUGAAAUUGCGUUGUCUGCCUUUAUGGCAGCAGCGAUUGCACACUACGGUGCAGACGAUUCCUGUUACCACAGACACUCUUGUUAUGAUUGACACCUCAGGGUUAGUUCAAGGUCGCUGUUAGAACAUCGCCGUUUAUUUGAAUGACAGAGUCAGUCCAUGACCACAGGCCAGGGCUAAUUAAUUAAGAGCCCAAUUCCAUCAUUUAGGUAGAGGCUAUAAUAAGGGAUGAUGCAGAGCCAUUGCACCCCACAAGGAGUUUGAGUAGAAAUUCUCACUCAGGGAGAUUCUUCCCUGAGCUCUCCUGCACUCACGCAGCGCACAUCCACUCAUACACCCCUUCAUGGAUUCAAGGCAGAUUAUUUUCCUUGCCCCUUUUUGGGCACAAUGGUAUCCCAGGGAACUAGGGCCUGCAGGUGUGCCUAGCUAUUAUAUGGGCCAUAAAAGGGGGAAGAGGAGGUGAUGAUAGGCUCCUUGAGACCCAUCAGGCCAUAAUUUAGAGAAUAAUAGAUGGCAAACAGACUUUUGAUUGGAAGAAUAUCAUUUUAAAAUACGGUGGGAAAAAGGUUAGGCCACAAGCCUCUAUAAUAACUAACUUCUUUUGCAAUAUAAAAUAACAUAUCUAACAACUGAAAAAAUUCUUUAAAAUGGGGAACAUUGAUACAGAUCUAGGCUGGCUUUGUAACUUAGUAGUUUGCACUUUUAAACAGGUGUGGUGGGACUGUACCAAGUCCAGAUUUUGGGGAACAAAUAUUCAGAGAAAGCAACCUGAUCCUAGAGCCUCUACACACAUUACAAUGUCUCCUGCUUUGCCUGGCUUGGAUAACAUCCCAUUGUCGUGUGUCAAUAGUAAAGAACCACAGCAAAAGUCACUUUCUUCUAACACUGAACAAGGAACUGUAUUAAAAAAGUAUAAUCCCUAAAGCUACACUAUCUCUCUCUUACUUUUUCACUAUAGAGCUAUUGCCUGGAAUCUUUUCAGGUUGCCAUAAUAUGUAGGUCUACCAACCCAGGUAGACAGACUUGUGCUAGUUUGGUUCGGACUAACAUGAUAAAAAUAUCAGUGUGAAUGUUGCCGCACUAGUGGAGGCUCAGGCUAGUCACCCAACCUUGGACGCACUUGAUCCCCCUGGGGCUGAGCUUAGGUUGCUAGCCUCAGCCUCCGGCAGUGCUGUAAUGUCCACGUGCUAUUUUUAACAUGGUAGCUCGAGCUGAGCUAGACCGUAUCUGACUACCUGGGCUGGGAGCCAUGCUCCCAGUGCAGUCUAGACAUACCCUUAGGUGACCAAACUGCCCAACUAAAUAUUCUUUAUACCUUAUUGACCCAUUGGGUUAUACUGAAGUGUAUUCUGUUUUGCGUAAUUAUAUGACCUCCCCCUGUAAUAUUUUUUUCUAUUGUUAUGUGAUUCUAAACUUGUGUACAAUUUUCACGUAUCCAAGUGACUUAGGAGCCUAAGUCCCAAUAAAAGCUUUUAUGUUGUCAA